GUGCUUGGUGCAGGCAUGCCUGUCUCCAGCCCCCCUCUGGCCGUGCCUCUAGGAUAGACACCAGCCAUGCUGUGCAGGAUUCCCCCUCCAGAGGGUGGGCAGAAAAGUGUUGUGAUGAUCCUCCUAUCUGACCCUGCCUCACCAGUCCUGCGAUGUGUGCAGAGGAGUGCCUGCCCGCAGACAGCAGCCAGUGUCACCCAAGGAUCGCAUCCCCCUUCUUGCUGAGCAUCAUGACUUUGGAUCAGAGUGUAAAUGUUGGUCCUCCAGCUAAUGAAGAAAGUCUGGGCUGAUCAAAGGGAGAUUAGUUUCUGUGUCAGCCAUCUGUCCUGCCUCUUCCUCUGUUGAUUGGUGUGACCAUAAAACAGCUGCUACAGCACAGAAGACUAGCUAAAAUGUUCCUGCAUGAUUUCUCACCACUGGAAAUAAAGUCAGCUUUGCUCUCUUGCUGUAUACUUUCAGCAGAAAGCUCGCCUCUUCCGUCAGGAAACAGAGCAUUUUAAGUGAUGUAUGGAAAUGUUUCUCACAGAGUGAGAGCAGACCAAGAAUGUGCAGAUCCUAAAAGGGUUUUCAUGCUAGAGGAGUUCUUAUUUUUAAAUAGAUUGAUCUUAAAAAUAAAUAAAUAAAUAAAUCCAGUUGGUUUUACAUGUUUGGCAUCAGAUUUCUUCUAGUAGUAGCAGCAGUAACAAGCUAUUUAAAUAACCUUUUCCCUUUGCCAGCUUUCUGUGCUGUCCUGAAGCUAGCUUAAAAAGAGUUGCUAUGGAAAUUCAACUUUGCCAGGCCAUAUGCAUGGGAUUAGAGCUUGACUAUGAAUCAAGAAACAAAAGGAACUGGAUGAAAAGUCUCUUUAUCCAAAUACACAUCUUCAGCAGUGAUCACUUCUAAUCAAAAUUCCUUCUCUGAUUUUUCUGCUUGAGGCACAAAACAGCAAGUGUGGCUGCUGUGCAAGAAGAGCUAACACGAAAUAAUUUUCCAUUGCGAUGGUACUGGGAAUAAAUAGCCUUUUUUAGGAUGGAGCUUGCUAGCUAAUGAUUCAGUUCCUGGAUUAUCUGCAUCCCUUUGUAUUUCGAUUUCUCUUAUCUCCAUAUAGAAAAUAUUUUAA